rnacentral:rRNA from 1 species
GACGAACCGUGCGAACGUUGUUCGGAAUCACUGGGCUUAAAGGGUGCGUAGGCGGCGCGGUAAGUCGGGUGUGAAAUCUCGGAGCUUAACUCCGAAACUGCAUUCGAUACUGCGGUGCUUGAGGACUUGGAGAGGAGACUGGAAUUCAUGGUGUAGCAGUGAAAUGCGUAGAGAUCAUGAGGAAGACCAGUGGCGAAGGCGGGUCUCUGGACAGUUCCUGACAGCUGAGACACGGAAGGCCAGGGGAGCAAACGGG